UCCUUUCGGAGGUGGGCUGUCAGCGCCCUG
rnacentral:sRNA from 1 species